CACAUUUCUUCACAUUUCCUGACCACUUUCAACCCUCACAAUAUUGAAAAUGAAAAAUAAGAGGGAUUUAGGGUAAGAGUACCUGUGACUAUCGGGCUUCACGUUCCCUCUUCUUCUUCUUCAACAUGAACGGCGGCCACCUACCACUCCGAUCAAAUCUCGCCGCUGUGAUUCGUUCGCAUAUCGAUUCCUCCGUCUCAAUCGAUCCCUCUCUGUUCUCUCAAUCUCGAAGCCUCUGAUCUCAUCCCCGAUUCUGUUCUUGACAUCACUCGCUCCUCAUCUCCGCUUGCUCUCUCAUCAUGAACGGCUCGCGACGGAGAAAUUGUUGGUGAGUUAGUUAGAUGGAGGUUUGAAAUCGUUGAAAUCGUUUAACCUAAAUCCUCUUUUUCAAUCAUUCAGUUCUAGCGAGUAGGUUUCUUUCCGAAUUCGCAGACGCUAAUGGCGAAGCCAAGUACCUCAACAUCCUGCAAGAUGUUGCGAACCACAAAGCUCGAUCUGUUGAAAUUGAUCUCGACGACUUAAUGAACUAUAAGGAUCUAGAUGAGGAUUUUUUGACGCGAGUUACUGAGAAUACGAGAAGAUAUGUAGGGAUUUUUGCUGAUGCGAUCGACGAGCUCAUGCCGGAGCCUACUGAGACGUUUGUGGAUGAUGAUCAUGAUAUUUUGAUGACUCAGAGAUCUGAUGAAGGAACUGAAGGUGCUGAUGGUUC